GUGGGUUCCCUGGAAGGCAUUUUGCGACUGUUAGUGCUGUACUCUCCCUGCUCGGAGAGGAUCCCCUCUUAGCUGCCCCUCACUUCCUCAGUCCUCCCUGCAGACUUCUGACGGGCUCUGGAAGCCGGCCUUGCGGGGUCUGCACCCUCCCGGUUCUGCCGACCAGGAGUCCGCAGGAGGCUGUUCCCGAUACCCAGAAACUCGCUGUCCUCGCAGGUCCUCGCCCCGACUGCUAGUCCCCCACAGAGGAUGAUCUUCAUUGAAAGUAUUUCCACAAAAACUAGGAAUAUUUCCAAGAAUGCUUUAAUUUUAUGGAACAUAAAAGCGUAGAACAUAAUAUUGUGCCACUAUGAGAAAGGCAAGGUUGGUCUUUAGAGUAGAAAGACCUGGCCUGAAUCUUGGCUCUUCCAACUCAAGGUACAUGUGUCUCUCAGAUGCUCAGUUGAUGGGUCUGAAAAAGGAGACAGAUCUGUGUACAACAGAUUUGUUUAAAGGAAUGAAGGGUGUGAAGCAAAUAAAGUACCUUUGUUACACAUUA